rnacentral:rRNA from 1 species
UGGGGAAUUUUGGACAAUGGGCGCAAGCCUGAUCCAGCCAUGCCGCGUGUCUGAAGAAGGCCUUCGGGUUGUAAAGGACUUUUGUCAGGGAAGAAAAGGCUGUCGCUAAUACCGACAGUUGAUGACGGUACCUGAAGAAUAAGCACCGGCUAACUACGUGCCAGCAGCCGCGGUAAUACGUAGGGUGCAAGCGUUAAUCGGAAUUACUGGGCGUAAAGCGAGCGCAGACGGUUACUUAAGCAGGAUGUGAAAUCCCCGGGCUCAACCUGGGAACUGCGUUCUGAACUGGGUGACUAGAGUGCGUCAGAGGGAGGUAGAAUUCCACGUGUAGCAGUGAAAUGCGUAGAGAUGUGGAGGAAUACCGAUGGCGAAGGCAGCCUCCUGGGAUAACACUGACGUUCAUGCUCGAAAGCGUGGGUAGCAAACAGGAUUAGAUACCCUGGUAGUCCACGCCCUAAACGAUGUCAAUUAGCUGUUGGGCAACUUGAUUGCUUAGUAGCGUAGCUAACGCGUGAAAUUGACCGCCUGGGGAGUACGGUCGCAAGAUUA